CGGCAGCACAGCAGUAGCAAUACUGUGGGUGGCGAGUGGCGGACGGGUGAGUAAUGCAUCGGGGCCUACCUAGACGUGGGGGAUAACGUAGGGAAACUUACGCUAAUACCGCAUACGUCCUACGGGAGAAAGCAGGGGACCUUCGGGCCUUGCGCGGUUAGACGGACCGAUGUUCGAUUAGCUAGUUGGUAGGGUAAUGGCCUACCAAGGCGACGAUCGAUAGCUGGUCUGAGAGGAUGAUCAGCCACACUGGAACUGAGACACGGUCCAGACUCCUACGGGAGGCAGCAGUGGGGAAUAUUGGACAAUGGGCGCAAGCCUGAUCCAGCAAUGCCGCGUGUGUGAAGAAGGCCUUCGGGUUGUAAAGCACUUUUAUCAGGAGCGAAACGCUGUCGGCUAAUACCCGGCGGAACUGACGGUACCUGAGGAAUAAGCACCGGCUAACUUCGUGCCAGCAGCCGCGGUAAUACGAAGGGUGCAAGCGUUAAUCGGAAUUACUGGGCGUAAAGCGUGCGUAGGCGGUUUGUUAAGUCUGUUGUGAAAUCCCCGGGCUCAACCUGGGAAUGGCAAUGGAUACUGGCAAGCUAGAGUGUGAUAGAGGAUGGUGGAAUUCCCGGUGUAGCGGUGAAAUGCGUAGAGAUCGGGAGGAACAUCAGUGGCGAA
rnacentral:rRNA from 1 species